GCCAUUGUUGUAUGCUAGCCACGAGUGAAAGGUGGAUGUUUGCCUGUUAUUCGCUGUGUGUUAAGCACACUAUUUAAUUAAAGCAGACGCUGAGAAUAUUUAUUGCUACGCGAAGUAGGUGAGCUUAAGGCAAAACGCCGCCAGCAUUUUAGUUUAUUAUCUUGUUGCCAAAGUGUGCUUGGUUAUAUUGCCAAAAAGCCGAAUUUAAAUGUCGUGUUGCAUCCCAAACAGUGUCUGCGUACUACACCUGCAGCCGGGGUACAACGGGAUAGAUGACCAUGGAUUAGAGCGGGGAGUUUUAUACGAAGUGACACCAUAUCAGUAUGAGUGGUAGAUGGGCAUGACACUCCUCAUGGCCAGUGUGCUCACAGGACAACAAUCCAAGUUGUCUACCCUGCACAAGUUGGGCUGCAUCACUUUAUCCACAAGUGAGUGAGGGAACUGGAUCCCCCAGAGGCAGAUGCCCUGGAAACAGCCCCAGCAAAGCUUCCAAGCAAACUUUGACUGCGUUCAAAAAUCACUACUCUGUUAUAUGCAAACUCACAGAAACAAAUACCUUAACAAAUAAAUAGCACUGUUAUCUGCAGA